ensembl:lncRNA
AGGCAGUGGUCAGGCAGUGGUAAUCAGUGGUCAGGCAGUGGUAGUCGGUGGUCAGGCAGUGGUAAUCAGUGGUCAGGCAGUGGUAGUCAGUGGUCAGGCAGUGGUAGUCAGUGGUCAGGCAGUGGUCAGGCAGUGGUAGUCAGUGGUCAGGCAGUGGUAGUCCGUGGUCCGGCAGUGGUAGUCCGUGGUCCGGCAGUGGUAGUCAGUGGUCAGGCAGUGGUAGUCAGUGGUCAGGCAGUGGUAGUCAGUGGUCAGGCAGUGGUAAUCAGUGGUAAUCAGUGGU